CAGCAGCCGCGGUAAUACGAAGGGUGCAAGCGUUAAUCGGAAUUACUGGGCGUAAAGCGUGCGUAGGCGGUGAGUUAAGUCUGCUGUGAAAUCCCCGGGCUCAACCUGGGAAUGGCAAUGGAUACUGGCAAGCUAGAGUGUGUCAGAGGAUGGUGGAAUUCCCGGUGUAGCGGUGAAAUGCGUAGAGAUCGGGAGGAACAUCAGUGGCGAAGGCGGCCAUCUGGGACAACACUGACGCUGAGGCACGAAAGCGUGGGGAGCAAACAGGAUUAGAUACCCCUGUAGUCCCUGUCUCUUAUAC
rnacentral:rRNA from 1 species